GACGAACGCUGGCGGCGUGCUUAACACAUGCAAGUCGAACGGUGAAGCGCCUUCCUUUUUGGUGGGUGUGGAUGAGUGGCGAACGGGUGAGUAACACGUGAGUAACCUGCCCCCUUCUUCUGGAUAACCGCAUGAAAGUGUGGCUAAUACGGGAUAUUCUGGGUCUGUCGCAUGAUGGGUCUGGGAAAGAUAUUGUUUCGGUGGGGGAUGGGCUCGCGGCCUAUCAGCUUGUUGGUGGGGUGAUGGCCUACCAAGGCGGUGACGGGUAGCCGGCCUGGGAGGGUGGACGGUCACACUGGGACUGAGACACGGCCCAGACUCGUACGGGAGGCAGCAGUGGGGAAUAUUGCACAAUGGGCGCAAGCCUGAUGCAGCGACGCCGCGUGAGGGGUGGAGGCCUUCGGGUUGUGAACCUCUUUCGCCAGUGAAGCAGGCCUGCCUCGUUUGUGGGUGGGUUGACGGUAGCUGGAUAAGAAGCGCCGGCUAACUACGUG
rnacentral:rRNA from 1 species